UACAGAGGGGGCAAGCGUUGUUCGGAAUUACUGGGCGUAAAGGGCGCGUAGGCGGCCUUCUAAGUCGAACGUGAAAUCCCCGGGCUCAACCCGGGAACUGCGUCCGAUACUGGAAGGCUUGAAUCCGGGAGAGGGAUGCGGAAUUCCAGGUGUAGCGGUGAAAUGCGUAGAUAUCUGGAGGAACACCGGUGGCGAAGGCGGCAUCCUGGACCGGGCAGUUGACGCUGAGGCGCGAAAGCCAGGGG
rnacentral:rRNA from 1 species